rnacentral:rRNA from 1 species
CCUACGGGAGGCAGCAGUGAGGAAUAUUGGUCAAUGGCCGUAAGGCUGAACCAGCCAAGUAGCGUGAGGGAAGACUGCCCUAUGGGUUGUAAACUUCUUUUAUAAAGGAAUAAAGUGAGGCACGUGUGCCUUUUUGUAUGUACUUUAUGAAUAAGGAUCGGCUAACUCCGUGCCAGCAGCCGCGGUAAUACGGAGGAUCCGAGCGUUAUCCUGAUUUAUUUGGUUUAAAGGGAGCGUAGAUGGGUUGUUAAGUAAGUUGUGAAAGUUUGCGGCUCAACCGUAAAAUUGCAAUUGAUACUGGCAGUCGUGAGUACAGUUGAGGUAGGCGGAAUUCGUGGUGUAGCGGUGAAAUGCUUAGAUAUCACGAAGAACUCCGAUGGCGAAGGCAGCUUACUAAACUGCCACUGACAUUGAUGCUCGAAAGUGUGGGUAUCAAACAGGAUUAGAUACCCGGGUAGUC